rnacentral:rRNA from 1 species
CAAUAGCGUAUAUUAAAGUUGUUGCGGUUAAAAAGCUCGUAGUUGGAGUUCUGCCAGGUGCCGCCUGUCCGCCCCAGUGGUGAGUACGUGGCGCGCAUUUGGCCCUUUCAAGGGGAGCGUAUCUGCACUUUAUUGUGUGGUGCGGGAUCCUUGACUUUUACUUUGAGGAAAUAGAAGUGUUCCAAGCAGGCUCUCGUCGUGCACAGCUCAGCAUGGAAUAAUAGCAUUGGACCUCGAUUCUAAGCUGUUGGUUGCCAGAAGCGAGGUAAUGAUGAAGAGGGAUAGUUGGGGGCAUUCGUAUUUAACUGUCGGAGGUGAAAUUCUUGGAUUUGUUAAAGACGGACUACUGCGAAAGCAUCUGCCAUGGAUGUUUUCAUUGA